rnacentral:rRNA from 1 species
GGAAGUAAAAGUCGUAACAAGGUCUCCGUUGGUGAACCAGCGGAGGGAUCAUUACUGAGUUACCGCUCAUCAACCCUUUGUGAACAUACCUUAACUGUUAUUACUGAGUUACCGCUCAUCAACCCUUUGUGAACAUACCUUAACUGUUGCCCUCUCCCGUCCGCGGGUGGGGCGCCCGCCGGAGGAUAACCAAACUCUGAUUUAACGACGUUUCUUCUGAGUGACACAAGCAAAUAAUCAAAACUUUUAACAACGGAUCUCUUGGUUCUGGCAUCGAUGAAGAACGCAGCGAAAUGCGAUAAGUAAUGUGAAUUGCAGAAUUCAGUGAAUCAUCGAAUCUUUGAACGCACAUUGCGCCCGCCAGCAUUCUGGCGGGCAUGCCUGUUCGAGCGUCAUUUCAACCCUCAAGCUCUGCUUGGUGUUGGGGCUCUACGGUUGACGUAGGCCCUUAAAGGUAGUGGCGGACCCUCUCGGAGCCUCCUUUGCGUAGUAACCAUUUCGUCUCGCAUUGGGAUUCGGAGGGACUCUUAGCCGUAAAACCCCCAAUUUUACUAAGGUUGACCUCGGAUCAGGUAGGAAUACCCGCUGAACUUAAGCAUAUCAAUAAGCGGAGGA